AAAAACUUUUUUUUAGAACAUUUUGCAAAUUUAUUAAAAAUAAGACACUCAAAUGUUGCAUAUACAUAAGUAUUCACACCCUUUACUCAAUACUUGGUCGAAGCACCUUUGGCAGCGAUUACAGCCUCCAGUCUUCUUGGAUAUGAUGCAACAAGCAUGGCACACCUGGAUUUGGGGAGUUUUUCCCCAUUCUUCCUUGCACAUCCUCUCAAGCUUAGUGAGGUUGGAUGGGCAGCGUCGGUGCACAGCUACUUUCAGGUCUUUCCAAAGAUGUUCAAUUGGGUUCAAGUCUGGGCUCUGGCUGGGCCACUCAAGGACAUUCAGAGACUUGUCCUGAAGCCACUCCUUUGUCUUCUUGGCCGUGUGUCAUGCUGGAAGAUGAAGCAUCGCCCCCCAGAUCCUGACAAGUCUCCCAGUUCCUACCGCUGAAAAACAUCCCCACAGCAUGAUGCUACCACCACCAUGCUUCACUGUAGGGAUGGAAUUGGCAAGGUGGUGAGCGGUGCCUGGUUUCCUCCAGAAAUGACACUUGGCUUUCAGGCCAAAGAUUUCGAUCUUCGUUUCAUCAGACCAGAGAAUUUUGUUUCUCCUGGUCUGUGAGUCCUUCAGGUGCCUUCUAGCAAAGUCUAAGUGGGCGGUCAUGUGCUUUUUACUGAGGAGUAGCUUCUGUCUGGCCACUCUGCCAUAAAUGACUGACUGGUGGAAUGCUGCAGAGAUGGUGGUCCUUCUGUAGGGUUCUCCCAUCUCCUCAGUGGAACGCUGGAGCUCUGUCAGAGUGGCCAUCGGGUUCUUGGUCACCUCCCUGACCAAGGCCCUUCUCCCCCGCUUGCUCAUUUUGGCUGGGUGGCCAGCUCUAGGAAGAGUCCUGGUGGUUCCAAACGUCUUCCAUUUCUUAAUGAUGGAGACCACUGUGCUUGGGAUCUUACAUGUAGCAGAUAUGUUUCUGUAAACUUCUCCAGAUCUGUGCGCCGAUACAACCCUGUUUCGGACCUCUACAGAAUAUUCUUUCGACUUCAUGGCUUGGUUUGUGCUCUGACGUGCUCUGUCAGCUGUGGGAUCUUAUAUAGACAGGUGUGGCUUUCCAAAUCAUGUCCAAUCAGCUGAAUUUGCCAAUGGUGGACUGCAAUCAAGUUGGAGAAACAUUUCAAGGCUGACCAGUGGAAACAGGAUGCACCUGAGCUCAAUUUUGAGUUUUAUAGCAAAGGGUGUGAAUACUUAUAUAUGCAACAUUUGAGUGUCUUAUUUUUAAUAAAUUUGCAAAAUGUUCUAAAAAAAAGUUUUUUCGCUUUGUUAUUAUGAGUUAUUUUGUGUAGAAUUUUGGAAUAAGGCUGUAACCUAACAAAAUUUGGAAAAAAGGGAAGUGGUAUGAAAACUUUCCGGAUGCACUGUAAGCCCUUUUUUACUUUGUCUUAUGUUUCAUCAAUCAUUAAAGCAGAGUGCUCUCCUAGCUUCACCUCAUCACUUAUUUGGCCUCUUCUCAUACUUACCAUGAUGUCUGUCAAACCCUCCUCUGUUUGUUGAUUGCUUGUCUUUUCUGUGUUGCCUUUGUCUGAUCAUUUGACAUGCUGUAAAGCACAGUGACUCAAUUACUGCACACAUGUACUGUCUAUUUCCUUUAAUGUGCAUGGUCCAGUUGUGUGAGAAUUGUCAAGCCGCUCAUCAAUCGCUCCUCAAAUUAGUCAGAUUUCCUAGAUUUUUGUGCAGCACUUGAAUUAUAUUGGGCCAGUUUCUCAGCUCCCUUUUACCAGUUUCAACAUUACUGUUCCGUGUGCGUGCUUGGAAAACUCAAAGGUUCUGGGUAAUCUUGAUGGGUAUUUGUCUGAGCCCAUUAAGAGAUAUUCGUGAUUUGAUUUGUUACUAUGCUGCACUCUUUAAUGAUAAGCCCACACAGACAACAGUGCUGCCUGCAGCUUGAUGUUGUGGGCGAUCACAAGCCUAUUAAGCAACAUACUUACAGGGUUAGUCCCGCGAAGCAUGCUGCCAUGCAGAGGGUGGUGAAGUAUCUUAUUGAAAAUGGUUUAGUUGUGCCCAGCUCCAGUCUGUGGAGUUCUCCCUGUCUCCUUGUCCCAAAAUCAGACCAAACUCCCCAAUUUUGUAUGGACUUUCGUAAGGUUAACACUGUGACAAAACUUGAUUCCUUCUCUCCUCCACAUACAGAUGACUGAGACAUAUUUGGCUGAACCUACUGUAUCCAUGCAAAGUUAGAGCUCCUGAAAGGGUACUGGCAGGUUCCUUUAACACCAUGUACAUCUGAGGUCUCUGCUUUUGUCACGCCAGAUCAUUUUCUCCAGAGGUUGAUGAUCACUCUCCUUUGUGGUGUGAAGAACUGUGAAGCCUAUCUUGAUGACAUUGUAUGUUUUUCCUCCUCUUGGUCAGAGCACGUGGAAACGCUGAAAGAAGUUUUAAGCCGAUUGAUGGCUGCCCUUUUGACUCUUGAAUCUGGCCAAGUGUGACUGUAGUUAGGCUGUUGUCACGUACCUGGGUAAGCAGGUCGGCCAGGGUAUGGUGAGCCCUCUGUUGGCCAAAGUUCGGUGUUAUGACUGUGGUUCAUUUAAAUUAUUUGCUUCUUUCAUGUAGAAGAGAGCUCUUGUUUUCUCUCUCUCUGUGCUUCCUCGCUACAGGUGUGGCACAACCUAAUUAAACAAUGGCCAAGCACGCAUCAGCGGCUGACUGGAGGAGUGGAGUUGGGUGGUGGGCCACGAAGAGAGGAGAUGGCGGCAGUUUUAAAGAGAGGCCACUGCAGCGCAAACAGCAACCCUUGUCACAGCCUCUUGAAAUAAUUAAUGUACACCACCAAGAAAAAAAAUAGGCUUGUAAAAGAGAACAGUAACAUAUAAAAAGGACAGACCGCGACUCUCGAUGUAAAACAGGAUUUAAAUGAGCAGAAAUUGAUGAUUCAAAAAUAAAGCGAUGAAAUAAAAAAGGCUCUAGGUGCCGGCCAAAAGUAACAAGAGGGGCGGUUGUGUACAGAGCUAGCCACACAUUGGGCCAUGGGACCAGUUACCACCCCUAACUAAAACUACUUAACCCUUUGAUGCGUUUUGUAUCAUAUUUGAUACAAAUUUUGAUGGUACUUCUAUCAAAUCAAAAUGAUUAACAAAUUACAAAAAAAACCCCACCUGAAUACAGUCCGUUAAAUGGUAAAAAUGUCCUCUUUAUCAGUUUCCAAAAACAUCUAAUGUAUUAAACGAGAUAAAUAUAUUUUUUUAAUUUUAAGGACAUUUUGAUAUUUUGUUUUUCAGUAGUAAGUGAAAAAAAUAUUUCAGCUCUUAAAAAUGUGAAUUUUCUGGCCAUGGUUUCAGGCAUUAAAGGGCUAAAUAAAAAGAACUAACCUUCACAUUAUUUGAAUGGUUUCAUUGUACUAUGCUUCCAUUAUUCUAAUUUUGUAAUAAGAAAUUUUGUCAAAAAAGACUGUUAUUUCUUCUAAUAAUUAACAUAGUUGCUCACAAUGAACAGGCAAGAUAAAAGGUUUUUUUUAAAUUCCAAAAUUACUCAAAUUGUAACUACAGUACACAAGAGUUCUUGAUUCUAUGAAGA
rnacentral:lncRNA from 1 species